AAGUCGUAACAAGGUUUCCGUUGGUGAACCAGCGGAAGGAUCAUUACAGAGAUCGUGCCCUCACGGGUAGACUUCCCACCCUGUGUUAUUUACUCUUGUUGCUUUGGCAGGCCGCCUUCGGGCUCUCGGCUUCGGCUGAGGUGCGCCUGCCAGAGGACCCAACUCUGUGUUUUAGUGUCGUCUGAGUACUAUAUAAUAAGUUAAAA
rnacentral:misc_RNA from 1 species